rnacentral:rRNA from 1 species
UGGGGAAUAUUGCACAAUGGGCGCAAGCCUGAUGCAGCCAUGCCGCGUGUAUGAAGAAGGCCUUCGGGUUGUAAAGUACUUUCAGCGAGGAGGAAGGCGGUAAGGUUAAUAACCUUAUCGAUUGACGUUACUCGCAGAAGAAGCACCGGCUAACUCCGUGCCAGCAGCCGCGGUAAUACGGAGGGUGCAAGCGUUAAUCGGAAUUACUGGGCGUAAAGCGCACGCAGGCGGGCUGGCAAGUCGGAUGUGAAAUCCCCGGGCUCAACCUGGGAACUGCAUUCGAAACUGGCAGGAUAGAGUCUUGUAGAGGGGGGUAGAAUUCCAGGUGUAGCGGUGAAAUGCGUAGAGAUCUGGAGGAAUACCGGUGGCGAAGGCGGCCCCCUGGACAAAGACUGACGCUCAGGUGCGAAAGCGUGGGGAGCAAACA